rnacentral:rRNA from 1 species
GACGAACGCUGGCGGCGUGCCUAAUACAUGCAAGUAGAACGCUGAAGGAGGAGCUUGCUUCUCUGGAUGAGUUGCGAACGGGUGAGUAACGCGUAGGUAACCUGCCUGGUAGCGGGGGAUAACUAUUGGAAACGAUAGCUAAUACCGCAUAAGAGUAGAUGUUGCAUGACAUUUGCUUAAAAGGUGCAAUUGCAUCACUACCAGAUGGACCUGCGUUGUAUUAGCUAGUUGGUGGGGUAACGGCUUACCAAAGCGACGAUACAUAGCCGACCUGAGAGGGGUGUCGGCCAACCUGGGAAUGAGACACGGCCCCAGCGCCUACGGGAGGCAGCAGGAGGGAAACUUCGGCAAAGGACGGAAGGCUGACCGAAGAACGCCGCGUGAGGGGAGAAGGGUUUCGGAUCGUAAAGCUCUGUUGUAAGAGAAGAACGAGGGUGAGAGUGGAAAGUUCACACUGUGACGGUAUCUUACCAGAAAGGGACGGCUAACUACGUG